GCUCGUAAACGCUUUUGGCGCAUGCUUUGAGCGUUGAGCUUCCUUGGAGUUUGGGAAAAACAUCUCUGGCGCAGCGGAAAUGAAACAAUUUCCCCAACUUUCCUUCGCAGCUAUGCUUUGCUCUUUUGUAGUGACGACGAGCCACAGGGCUUCUUCGAGACAUGCGAAGCGUGCAGGUACCAACUACACCGAAGAGGAGAUUGUGCAAAUGCAGGCAAACUAUGACUGCGCGUCGCGCGAGAUACCACCUGGUGAGACAGGACGCGUCCACUGGCACGCAGCCCCUGGAAACAACACUUUCUACUUUCGCUGCGUCAACGGAACAGGGAUUAAGACGCACUGUGCGAACGGCAAACGUGCAGACGGAAAAAGAGAUGUCGUUUGUCAAGUACUUAAUGACGGGCCAAUUGAUGCGUAUGGGCCUCAACAAAUGUGUUAUUGCCCCUGCUAUUCUCCAGACGCCGUGUGAUGUAGCGUGUGGCCUACGUGAAUAAGCUCAACAUUAUUAUACAACUAAGCUGGCUUUCUGCGCAUGAACCGCUUUUUUCCACAUUCAAGGUAUCAAGACCGCAUAGUGAACAGCUAUAGCGGAUGCAGAGCUGAUCAGGCAAAUAUGCUAAGAUUUGGAAACACCCACAACUAUGAGUGGACGGUCUGACGAAGCAAAAAUAAAUUAAAGAAGUUGGGCCCUA